CCUCUGAGCCAUUGAGCCAUCUCUCUAGACACACAUGUGGAUUUUUCUUUUCUUUUUUAAAGAUUUUUCCUUAAUAGAAAGUGGUGUCAGUGGACUGGGUUUGUAGGUAGAUUGCUCUGCAGUUCUCCUUUCUCUUUGGUUGGUUUGUCCAGUCAUUCUGUGUCAUCAGGCCAAUGAAGGACACUAACUUGACAUUAGUUUCUCAUCGUUUCUCCCUUUGUAUCUCUCCUCUCCCUUCUCUAACUUGUCUCUCUUCAGUUUUAUAGGAGGAUAGAUAUAUCACAAAAUUAGGCACAUUACUGUCACUUUCUGUCUGUGACCUGGUGAUUGCAAGGAUGGCAGGCAGCCAGCAGGAGGCUUGUGGACAAGAGGGCCAAGUGGGGACUACCAGAUGAGAGUUGCUUUCUCUAGGAACACCCCAACCACCAGGUACCCUCUGCUCUCUAGCAUCACUCUGUGCUUCACUACAGACUGUCACGGGGCUCAAUAGAUCUCUCUCUCUCUCCCUCCCUCUCCUACACACACACACCAUCACCACCACCACCACAAACAAAAGACAUGCCCAUACAAGGAUGUGGGUACUAGGCAGCAGUGAGCCUGUGGACUGAAGAUGUUGCCUCCAGGAGCUGUGCCAGGGUCUAACUGUUGUCUCAUAGCUGAUGUUCUUGAGACCCUGUGGUGUUAAACAAGCAAGUCUAUGGUUGGCCACUCGGGGGCAGCAAACAGCCAGAGGUGAAGCUAAGGAAUUGCUGGCUAGACCUAGGCAUUUCUAGGGCUUAAUCCAGGUAAACUGGUCUUUAGGAUUGCCUUUGGCACAGGGUCACCCAGCACAAACAGACAUGAGUAACAACAUCUGUCCGUUUGGCUUCAGGAGCAGGAAGGGUGGCACAGAGGGCUGUCUGUGAAGCUGGCUGGGGCCUGUCUACCAGCUUUUGGCUCGAGUUUUCUCAGCUCUGGCUCCAGCCACCAGCCUGCUACUUCUGAACCUUCAUCGUGAACUCUAACCUUUGAAGUCCUAAGCCCAAAAACCUCUUCUGUAAGUCUUGGUUUGAAGUACGCUUUAUUAAAUAUUAAAUGCUGACCAAGAGAUCAGCUUCGGUCAGGACCACUCCCUGGGGCUUCCAGCUGCAUGGCCAAAGCUCUGGAUUUUGAGGAUUCAGGUUUGGUUCCCAGAACCUCCAUGAUGGUU